GUGUUGUUUGUUAAGGGCACACGGUGGAUGCCUUGGCAUUAUGAGCCGAUGAAGGACGUGUAAGGCCGCGAUAGGCCUCGGGGAGUUGCCAAUAGAGCGUUGAUCCGAGGGUGUCCGAAUGGGGAAACCUGGCCAUGGUUAUGUGUGGUUACCCAUCAGUGAAUUCAUAGCUGGUGUGGGGGUGACGCGGGGAAGUGAAACAUCUCAGUACCCGUAGGAGAAGAAAAUAAUUAAUGAUUCUGCUAGUAGUGGCGAACGAACGUGGAUGAGGCUAAACCGUAUGCGUGUGAUACCUGGCAGGGGUUGCGUGUGUGGUGUUGUGGGGCGUUGUUGGAGGAGGCUGCCGGCUCCUCGCUUGUUAUAUGUGUGUGUUAGCGGAAGUGGUUUGGAAUGGCCUGCCGUAGUGGGUGAGAGUCCCGUACGUGAAAACAUGUGCAUGCGAGUGGAUGAUGUUCCCGAGUAGCAGCGGGCUCGUGGAAUCUGCUGUGAAUCUGCCGGGACCACCCGGUAAGCCUAAAUACUUAUGAUGACCGAUAGCGGAUAGUACCGUGAGGGAAUGGUGAAAAGUACCCCGGGAGGGGAGUGAAAUAGUACCUGAAACCGUGUGCUUACAAUCCGUCAGAGCCUCUUUUUGUUAGGUGAUGGCGUGCCUUUUGAAGAAUGAGCCUGCGAGUCAGCGGCAUGUCGCGAGGUUAACCCGUGUGGGGUAGUCGUAGCGAAAGCGAAUCCUAAUGAGGGUGUUUGUUAGUGGCAUGUCCUGGACCCGAAGCGGGGUGAUCUACCCAUGGCCAGUGUGAAGCAGCUGUAAGAGGUUGUGGAGGCGCGAACCCACUUAGGUUGAAAACUGAGGGGAUGAGCUGUGGGUAGGGGUGAAAGGCCAAUCAAACUCCGUGAUAGCUGGUUCUCCCCGAAAUGCAUUUAGGUGCAGCGUUGUGUGUUUCUUGCUGGAGGUAGAGCUACUGGUUGGUUGAGCGGGACUACAAUCUUAGCAAUGUCAGCCAAACUCCGAAUGCCGGUAAUGUUAAGCAUGGCAGUGAGACUGCGGGGGAUAAGCUCCGUUGGUCGAGAGGGAAACAGCCCAGAUCGCCGGUUAAGGCCCCUAAGGGUGUACUAAGUGGAAAAGGAUGUGGGAUCGCGAAGACAGCCAGGAGGUUGGCUUAGAAGCAGCCAUCCUUGAAAGAGUGCGUAAUAGCUCACUGGUCGAGUGGUUCUGCGCCGACAAUGUAGUGGGGCUCAAGUACACCGCCGAAGCCGCGGCAGUCAGCAAUUUUUUUGUUGGUUGGGUAGGGGAGCGUCGUGCACUGCUGUGAAGCACCUGGGUGACUUGAUGGUGUGGAGUGUGUGCGAGUGAGAAUGCAGGCAUGAGUAACGAAUGAAAAGUGGAAAACUUUUCCGCCGGAUGACUAAGGGUUCCUGGGUUAAGCUAAUCUUCCCAGGGUGAGUCGGGACCUAAGGCGAGGCCGACAGGCGUAGUCGAUGGAUAACCAGUUGAUAUUCUGGUACCCGUGUAUGUGCGCCCAGUGGUGAAUCAGUGGUACUAACCAUCCAU
rnacentral:rRNA from 1 species